rnacentral:lncRNA from 1 species
AUUUAAAAUAGUCCAAAAUAAAGUUAUAUAGAAUUUAUAAGAAUCCACAAAUAGUUCAUUCCACUUCGCGAUUGCAUAAUUUUGACGUAUGCGGUUCAACGUAUUUCCUUAUUCAUAAUAGAAAUACAUCAUAAUGAUAUAUUAUAGAACAAUAACAUAUAGACGGGAUCUUUUAAAGUACAGAGUCACGUUAUAAGAACCAAAGAAACACAAAAAGUCGCAUAUAAAAAGCACACCAGCAAAAAUGAAAGAUAAUACAAACACAUUGACCGGAUGUGUAAGUACCGAGCCACGUUAAACAGAUAUCACGUAAAACAAUCCAACAGUAACAGUAAUAUUAAUAAUAGAACAAAGACAAAUGAAAGAACAAUAUAAUACGUUGUUAAGAUGAUAAACAACAUCAGUACGCAGAAUCUACACAUCAAGACCAUCAUGUAUCAUGUGUGCAGUUGAUACGGAAUAUUUAUCAACAAGGUAUUGGUACCUUCCGACGAACUUUUUUUAGAAAAAGGACGACACGUUUUUUGACAUACCCC